rnacentral:sRNA from 1 species
UAAUAAACCUGAUGGGAACGAAAAUCCUUUUUGUUAACCGUAAUUCCUAUUUCUUGAUUCAUCCAACAAAAAGAUUGCAGUAUACAGCAGGACUGAAA